UACGGGGGGAGCAAGCGUUGUUCGGAUUUACUGGGCGUAAAGGGCGCGUAGGCGGUCAGUGCAAGUCAGUUGUGAAAUCUCCGGGCUUAACUCGGAAAGGUCAACUGAUACUGCUCGACUAGAGUGCGGAAGGGGCAACUGGAAUUCUUGGUGUAGCGGUGAAAUGCGUAGAUAUCAAAGAGGAACACCUGCGGCGAAGGCGGGUUGCUGGGCCGACACUGACGCUGAAGUGCGAAAGCCAGGGGAGCGAACGGG
rnacentral:rRNA from 1 species